GAAGUUGUAGGUCAAAAACAUCAGGGGACCUGAGGCUGAGAACCACAGAACUAGAGGCUGGGAACUGCACAGCCCCCAAAAUAUUGCUGGACUACAACUCCCAGCAGCAUCGGCUAUGGUGAGGGAUGAUGGGAGUUGUAGUUUGAGAACGUCUGGAAAACUGCAUGAAUCUUACCCUUGCCUGAAUGAAGGGUUUGAUUCAUUUCUUCCCCCUUCCCCAGCAUUUUGUGUAAAGCAGGCUAUAAGUGUAAAGCGAUCAAAGGAAAUGCAGACUAAUUGGGCAGAUAAAGUAAGCUUGUGAGUUUACUGUGAGGGAUAAAUGGAUGUCAUCACUCUCAAGCAAUUGGAAUGAUGCCAAGUUGCAUCCCACUGAGAACUGCACAGCACUGCACAACUUUCCAAACCUUUCUCAUGGUCUGCAUGAUUGCUGCUCUAAACAUGACCAAGGAGCUCUCCCUGGAUUACCCUUUCCUGACUUAUGUCUCUUGUUUUUCAGCAUGGGAACAAAAUCCUGACAUGCAUGACCCAAGCCGAAUACUUCUGCAUUAGUUCCAUUAAAGCUGUGCCAUAUGCCUUCUAGAAGAGGAUGCACUGCUGGGGUCGUUGCCUGGCCUUUCCCCUAAAGCCAAGAGAAGGGAUCCUGAAUUUGUAUCCUAUUUAUUAGUGCAAUGGGGGCAGCGGGAGUUGGCUUUUAAUUAAAAAUGACAUCAUUGCACUCGCGCCUGCACUGUGCAGAGAGGUCCAGAUAGACUUUAUGCUGCCUGUUUUCAGUCCUCAAUGAUCCUAUUAUGAAUUGUAACCUCAUUACACAAACCCAGCUAAAUGGUGGAAUUUCAAAUGGGGUUUUGUGGCUUUUAGAACCUAAACAGCUAGAACAAGCACAAAGGCAGUUGCGGUCAGCCUGCUUCCUCUCUUACCACAGCAGUUGUGGGGAUGCCAUUCCAGUGACCACUUCUUCUACAAUGAGUCAGUUUCAUUUUUAACAAUCUGACUCAGUUCUCUUCAAAGGUGGAAGGGGGAAGGGAGGGGAAGGAAAGAGGGGCAAGCAUGUUAUUUCAGCAUGAUUCUUGUAUGCCUGACUUUAUACAACGGGGUCAAAGCAAAUGUUAACCCCUUGGGACCCAGCCAGGGAAAAGGCUUCGGCCAGCUGUGGAGUUCCUGUCUGCUGUAAAUGGCAGCCUUUAGAAAAGACUGCAUCUGCAAAGGCUGGGUGGGAUAUGGGCUUGGUUAUUUAACAAUGUAGGUUUGGGGGAAAGGAGGGGUGAGGAUGCAUGCAAAUAUCCAAUUUUGAAAAUGUUUGUUCUUUUGUUCAUCCGUUUAGCAUUUGUGGGGUUGGAUAUACUGUUUUGUCUUUGGAACAUCUCAAAAUUUAAAACCAGAAGUCCAGGUAAAUCUCAUCACCUGAAGACAGAAUCAAACCAUCCUCAGGGCACAAGGUGGUCCCAACAUGAAAAGAGUGGCAAAAGCAGCCCAAGGCCAUGAGAUGUCAUUCUACUUCAGUUCCCUGCUAUAGGAUUGGUACACAAAAGAGUCGGGACUGUUUCAGAAAAUCCAUCAAAGGCAAAACAAGAAAUUAACAAGAGAACCUUGACUUGGUUGCAGAAAGUGCCUAAAGUAUGAAGGUUUCAGACAUCAAUGAGGAUCAGUCAACAUGAGGAGCUCCAGGUGGUGCAACUUUCAUGGUAAAGCAUCAAAAACAUCUGUGCAUUCUCUGGGCAACGUCCUUGCAGAUGGCCAAUUCCCUCACACCAGAAGUGUCUCAAAUCACUCCUGACAUGGAAAAAAAAAUCUCCUCAUCUUCUAAUUUUAGCAGCAUUAACCUGGGGAGGAAAGUGCAUGGACUUUUGGUGUUGGGUUGUCGCAGCCUGUCUGCGGUAAACAAUUCAACAAACAAAGCUUUAGCCGGCCAAGAGUGGGAUUGCUAUAUGUUGCUCUAGCUAGCCAAUCCUGCUACAACAGACAAGGUAAACAGCAGGAUCAGCCAGCUGUAUAAUUGCACAUAUGCAUAUUGUUACCUUUGAAUAAAAAGUCUAUUCUGUUAAAAAUAAUUAUUUUCAUUAACAACGGAUCAUUUUAUCAUCUCUAAUUAAUUAUAAUUUAGCGUCUUUAUCCUCUCUUUCUUCUAGAAAUUUGUGAUCUGUUCCUUCUAAAGCAACCUGCUUACCCAUUAAUUUCUGCUGUGGGAAAUAAUUUCUUUUAUUCAUAAUUGGUCAACCUAAAAGAAAGAAUUUUAUCUCUGGAAAUAGCAGCUUGCAUUUUAAAUUCUGUCCAAUCUGCCUGUCACUCGCCUUCAUAUCAAAUUACUUUCAUUUUCUUUGGUUUCUUUCCUUAUUUUGUGAAUCAAUUAAAAUGUGCCUGUUCCAGUAAUCAUUUGCUAUCAAUGGCUGAUGCAUUUUUAUGUGAUGAGCCUUCCUUUUCAGAAUUUUUUAAAAAAUCAAUCAGUUCAGUCUUUGCCUUUUAAAAAUUAUUUUGCUUUUCCUUUUAUUUUGAUUUUUUAUUAUUACUGAUUUUGUUGCAAGGUAAUUAUACAACACAAUAAUAGUGAACAUAGACCUUCCCCUCCCAGUUCCAUAAUCCAAACCUUAAGCCUACAGGGUAUGAUUUACUCUUUAAUUUUUAUAAGCUGCCCUGAGUGAUGCAAAUGGAUUGAAAUGGUGAGGUAAAGGUUUCCUAAAACAAAUAAACAUAAAUUUGCUAAUAAUUGUUUUCAUCACUUUUCUUGUAAUGUUUGAUUAAUGUGCAUAAAUAUUAGACAGUUUUCCCUGCUAGCAUGGAAAUGAAGUGAUAGCAACAUAAAGUUAUUCCUCUUGAUCUAAUGAUAAGAAACUCAGCGAACUUUGUAGAGGGAAAAACAGACAUGUAAUUCUCUAUUACUUCUCCCAGUUUCAUGGCAGCUUGGACCUAGUUUUUUGUAGCUUGAAUCAGAGAGUUUAAUUUAAGGAAAAGGUUUUCCAUGGUUUUAUCAUUGCAUGUGUAGAUUGUAUCAUACAGAAUAUUUGAGAAGACACAACUUGCAACCACUUUAACACUAAGUAUUUCUUGGAAGAAAGUGGGCAAGCAAUUAAGUAACAAUAAGAAAAUAGUUGUUCUACAUGGGCCCAAGGAAGUCACUACUAGUGACUAGGCUCCAGAAGUCCAAAAAGAGAAUUAUUAUCAGAUUAUGUAUUGUCAAAGGCUUUCUGUGAGUUCUUUGGGCUGUAUGGCCAUGUUCCAGUAGCACUAGACCACUCUGACAACCAUUAUUAUGUCAGACUACACAGAGAAGCCAUUGACUACACAGAGAAGCCAUUAGAAUGUGGACACUUUCAUCAGAAAGGAGGAAACCAUGAAAAUGAACAAAAUCUGGCUACCAGUAUUAAAAAAACACCAGAAUUAGGAUAGUUAAUAAAAAACACCACUUAGAAACAGGAGAACUCCAAACAGCUAACAAUCACGUGCCAGUUAACACCUCCCAAGUAGAGGAUGCCCCAGGCCACAGAGGCAGAUAUGCAGAUACCUUCACUGAUUGACUUUACAGCUUCAUUGCUACUCAAUACUAUCCAAGCUUGCUAAUGGUAACAUUCACACUUUCUUCAAACAAGUGUUUAAAUGGACAUUCCACAGAUAUAUAUAUAUAUACACUCCACUUGCUUCACUGCCAACAGCACCUCUGAAGAUGCCAGCUACAGAUGCAAGUGAAACAUCAGGAGAGAAUGCUACUGGAUCAUGGCCAUACAGCCCAAAAAUACUCACAGCAAUCCAGUAUCAGACGAUGUUCUUGCUUUUCUCAGUAGUGUCAUUAUUUGUCAAUUGUUUUUAUACCUAUACCUAUCAAUAAAUAAAAUCAGAUAAUUUUAAAGAACAAUGCUAUACAAAAUUCCAUAUAGUAGGUCACUAUUAUCUGCUGAAAUUUGGUUCCAGGACAACCCCCUCCCUGAUACCAAAAUCCAUGGGUGCUCAAGUUCCAUUCUGUACAAUGGCAUAGCAAUUGAAGUUCCUUACAAAAAUGGCAAAAGCAAGGUUUGCUUUUGGGAUGGUCGAAUCAGUGAUGCAGAAUCAAUGGAUAUGGAGAGCCAGCA